AGGGGAGAGGGUGUUUUUUACGUGUUUGGAAUGCAUCCUUUGAAUUCGGACUGCAGCCAGAUGCAUACAUUUAGUCAUGUGAUUUCCAAGAAGAGUGUCGGGGUGGGGUGGUCACAUGUAUUACAAGAAAGAGAGAUUUGGUCAAAGACAGUACACUAUGAAGAUGAGCUAAAAAUGAUUCUCCAAUUCAAAUCCCCGAUUACACUUGUUGACGAUGUCAUGGCGACGUUGGCAAGCAAAACUCAUGCGUAGAAGCAAGUCAUCGGGUCUAAUGGUCAUCUUGCGCCGAACUGCGCAUGUGCUGGCAGUGUUCUGUUUAGUCUAUUUCACAACCGUUCCUGGAAAUCUUGCGAUGCUGCGCCUCUGGGUUUAGAAACUCUGUGAUUUAGUCUAUAAAACAGGUUGUCAGACACCAGUCUACAUCUGGGUAGAGAAACAUCCCAUACAUUCUGAAAUAUGUGCUGUACUUGGCGUCUACUCUGAACAUCUACUUGUGAUUUCUGUCUGGUUGACAGCCAUCGGCAAACUUCGAUGACUUAAGAAAGUCGGAGACCUACAAGAUCAACAAGAGAAUGGGUGGAGAUUGGUCAAAAGAUCGAGCGGAUCAGGCAGAGAGAGACCGCGAUCAAGCCAAAACUGAUAAACAGAAAGCGGAGGAGGACAAACAGAACAUGGAGAAGGAAAAGAAAAAGACAGAAGAGGAUUACAGGCAGCUCUUUGCUGAGAAAGUGAGAAUGGAAACAGAACAAAAGAUGGAAGAAAAACAAAGACAGGAGCUUGAGAAGGAAACUCUAAAAGUAAUAGAACACAAUAGACAGCGAGAGAAAAAUGAAAAGACAAGAAUUCAGCUGGAAAAUGCAAAAGGAGAUCAAAAAACUGUAUGAAAUGUAUCCACAUAUUAAGAGACAAAUGCAUAAACGGUUAAAUGAUCCACAUAAUGAAUUAUUGGACAAGGCACACAAUCAUUGUAAACCUUUAAUAUCCACAAUUGCGCUGCCUGUUUUAUUUUCCCCAAAUGAUGUUGUUAAAGGGAUAGUUCACACAAAUGACAGUGGUUUAAUAACCCUGUUAGCCGUUUUUGUUUACCUGGCUGCUGCCACCAAAUGCUUUUCAAACCAAUGCCUGUCAAUAUCUGAGAAUCCUCUGUAGCUUUGCAAUAAAAAGA
ensembl:lncRNA